CCUACGGGUGGCUGCAGUGGGGAAUAUUGGACAAUGGGCGAAAGCCUGAUCCAGCCAUGCCGCGUGUGUGAAGAAGGCCUUCGGGUUGUAAAGCACUUUCAGUGGGGAAGAAAGCCUUGGGGCUAAUACCCUCGAGGAAGGACAUCACCCACAGAAGAAGCACCGGCUAACUCCGUGCCAGCAGCCGCGGUAAUACGGAGGGUGCGAGCGUUAAUCGGAACUACUGGGCGUAAAGCGCGCGUAGGCGGUCUGAUAAGCCGGUUGUGAAAGCCCCGGGCUCAACCUGGGAACGGCAUCCGGAACUGUCAGGCUAGAGUGCAGGAGAGGAAGGUAGAAUUCCCGGUGUAGCGGUGAAAUGCGUAGAGAUCGGGAGGAAUACCAGUGGCGAAGGCGGCCUUCUGGACUGACACUGACGCUGAGGUGCGAAAGCGUGGGUAGCAAACAGGAUUAGAUACCCGGGUAGUC
rnacentral:rRNA from 1 species